UUUAUUCUAUAAAACUCUGUGUUGGUCUGGAGAUACUGUGCCUCAGCUUUUGUGUUCAUUUUUCAAACAGUUUGUUAUCAUAGUUUUGGCAACACUUCCUGCUUUGUCUUUUAUUUUGACAUCAGACUUCCUGUUUUACCUUUCUCAACGUGGUUAGUUCUACCACCAAAGUUAAUAGCAUUGGCUUCACCUGUGUGUUCUUCAAACAGCCGUGCCUUCAUGCUACUCUGCUAGUUUGACUGCCUCAAAGCUCCAGCUCUGAUCACAAACCCGUAAACUGAUCUAUCUACUGGAUCUUCUGCUUUCCGGAUCUAUUUCCCUUUUGGAUUCUGCCAACAAGACCUCUGGAUUUGGUUCAGACCACGGACAAGGAUUUUGGAUUAUCAGAUGUAUUUCUUCUUCAUCCACUCCUGCCUUGGACAUCCUUCUCCGCUUUGCACCAUCAAAUUCUGCAGAAUUGUCCCCCAUUCUUCUCCACACACCCUUUUGAGUGUUUCCUGCCACCUGAAGCCCAUCCUCACUACCUUCACCAAGUUCUUCAAUCAAUCUAUUUCACUUUAUUAGGAUCUAUGAUUGGGCUUCACAAAGAACACAGGGGCCCCAGGUUCUCCAAUACCAGCUUAUGUCUGGAGUGGGAACACCGUAAGAGGUGCAUGUGAGCGUCUGGCUGCUGCCACU